AACGCAUCUUGCGCUCCUUGGUAUUCCGAGGAGCAUGCCUGUUUGAGUGUCAUUAAAUUCUCAACUACAUGGAUUCGUGUAGCUUGGAUUUGGGAGGGUUCAUUUCUGCUGGCUUGUGAAUCAAGUCGGCUCUCCUGAAAUACAUUAGCAGGGCAUAACUUUGUAGAACCGGGUCUAUAGGUGUGAUAAAUUUAUCUACGCCUUGGAUGUCUGCAUGACAAUGGUUUAUACUGCUUUUAAUGUCAUCUCUCGCUUGAGAGACAUUUAUUUGACAAUUUUGACCUCAAAUCAGGUAGGAUUACCCGCUGAACUUAA
rnacentral:misc_RNA from 1 species